UGCCACCACACCACCCUUGCAAGCUCGCUCUCUCCUCCCAGGCGCUGCUCUGGACUCAUGACUCUGCCCGUCCACUCCAUUAUCCGCUAUUGUACCUUCGAUCAGGUCGCCAUCUACAGCACCAUCACCGAAGGUUCUGCUUAGGCAGAUGAAGGCCGUCGAAGAUCACAAGCGCAGCUUGCUAUUGUACAGGUUUAGAAUCUAGAAAGGCUGAUGAAGGCCGUCGAAGAUCACAAGCGCAGCUUGCUAUUGUACAGGUUUAGAAUCUAGAAAGGUUGUUAAUUCCAAAUCAAUUUGGAAUCCAGUCAAAACUACUCUCAAGGACUGCUCUGAACCUCAAAUAUCGUCGGCCAAAGAAUUUGUGAUAUGUUGAUUGAUGCAACUAUGCUGUACUGUUUCAGUGACUGUUAAAAGUAGACAUAACAGAAGUCUGGCAUUUUAGGUCACGGAAGUCUGGCAUCCUUUGUACACGAUCCUUUGUACACUAAUAUGAGGCGUUUUAGGUCACGGAA